rnacentral:rRNA from 1 species
UACGAAGGGGGCUAGCGUUGCUCGGAAUCACUGGGCGUAAAGCGCACGUAGGCGGAUUGUUAAGUCAGGGGUGAAAUCCUGGAGCUCAACUCCAGAACUGCCUUUGAUACUGGCGAUCUCGAGUCCGGGAGAGGUGAGUGGAACUGCGAGUGUAGAGGUGAAAUUCGUAGAUAUUCGCAAGAACACCAGUGGCGAAGGCGGCCCACUGGAUCGGUACUGACGCUGAGGUGCGAAAGCGUGGGGAGCAAACAGG